CGGGUGAGUAACGCGUAGGUAAUCUACCCUUAUACCUGGGAUAACAUUGGGAAACUGGUGCUAAUACCGGAUGGUCUUCUUUGCCGCGGGGCAGAGGAGUAAAAGUGGCCUCUUCAUGAAAGCUACCGUACAGGGAUGAGCCUGCGUACCAUUAGCUAGUAGGCGGGGUAACGGCCCACCUAGGCAACGAUGGUUAGCGGGUCUGAGAGGAUGAUCCGCCACACUGGAACUGGAACACGGACCAG
rnacentral:rRNA from 1 species